rnacentral:rRNA from 1 species
CAAUAGCGUAUAUUUAAGUUGUUGCAGUUAAAAAGCUCGUAGUUGGAUUUCUGCUGAUCGCUGUCGGUCUGCCGUCAGGUGUGUACUGGCAGUGUUUGGCAUCUAUUCGAGAUUGGGUGUCCACUUGAUUGUGUGCACUCGAUGUCGGAGCUAAUACUUUGAGAAAAUUAGAGUGUCCCACGCAGGCGCGUGCCUUGAAUACUGCAGCAUGGGAUAUUGGAAGGCCGAUUGAGCUUUCUUGUUGGUUCUCGGUUUGAUCGGAAUGAUUAAUAGGGAUAGUUGGGGGCAUUCGUAUUCAACUGUCAGAGGUGAAAUUCUUGGAUUUGUUGAAGACGGACUACUGCGAAAGCAUCUGCCAUGGAUGUUCUCAUUGA